rnacentral:misc_RNA from 1 species
UCACUGCUUACGCAGGCAGUUUCACUAGAGUCCCCAGCAUUACCUGAUGGCAACUAGUGAUGGGGGUUGCGCUCGUUGCGGGACUUAACCCAACACCUCACGGCACGAGCUGACGACAGCCAUGCAGCACCUUACAAUCGGUCUCUUGCGAGAAGGGCGCCUUUCAACGCCUGUCCAACUGCAUUCUAGCCCAGGUAAGGUUCCUCGCGUAUCAUCGAAUUGAACCACAUGUUCCACCGCUUGUGCGGGCCCCCGUCAAUUCCUUUGAGUUUCAACCUUGCGGUCGUACUCCCCAGGCGGGGUACUUCCUGCGUUAGCGCCGGCACCCAGAGGGUCGCUCCCCCAGGCACCUAGUACCCAUCGUUUACGGCGUGGACUAC